GACGAACGCUGGCGGCGUGCUUAACACAUGCAAGUCGAACGGGUCUGCCCUGUUUUUUGCGGGGUGGGUCAGUGGCGAACGGGUGAGUAACACGUGAGUAACCUGCCCCUCACUUCUGGAUAACCGCUUGAAAGGGUGGCUAAUACGGGGUGUUCUGGCUGUGCCGCAUGGUGUGGCUGGGAAAGAUUCACUUUUGUGGUGUUUUGGUGGGGGAUGGGCUCGCGGCCUAUCAGCUUGUUGGUGGGGUGAUGGCCUGCCAAGGCGUUGACGGGUAGCCGGCCUGGGAGGGUGGGCGGUCACACUGGGACUGAGAUACGGCCCAGACUCCUGCGGGGGGCAGCAGUGGGGGGUAUUGCACGAUGGGCGGAAGGCUGAUGCAGCGGCGUCGCGUGAGUGAUGGAGGCCUUCGGGUUGUGAACCUCUUUCGCCGGUGAAGAAGGUCCUGCUCUUUGUGGUGGGGUUGACGGUAGCCGGGUUAUGAAGCGCCGGCUAACUACGUG
rnacentral:rRNA from 1 species